UACGUAGGGUGCAAGCGUUGUCCGGAAUUAUUGGGCGUAAAGAGCUCGUAGGCGGUUAGUCGCGUCUGCUGUGAAAACUCGGGGCUUAACUCCGGGCCUGCAGUGGGUACGGGCAGACUAGAGUGUGGUAGGGGAGACUGGAAUUCCUGGUGUAGCGGUGAAAUGCGCAGAUAUCAGGAGGAACACCGAUGGCGAAGGCAGGUCUCUGGGCAUUAACUGACGCUGAGGAGCGAAAGCAUGGGGAGCGAACAGG
rnacentral:rRNA from 1 species